rnacentral:rRNA from 1 species
GGUCAAGUGAAGAAGCGCAUACGGUGGAUGCCUUGGCAGUCAGAGGCGAUGAAAGACGUGGUAGCCUGCGAAAAGCUUCGGGGAGUCGGCAAACAGACUUUGAUCCGGAGAUCUCUGAAUGGGGGAACCCACCUAGGAUAACCUAGGUAUCUUGUACUGAAUCCAUAGGUGCAAGAGGCGAACCAGGGGAACUGAAACAUCUAAGUACCCUGAGGAAAAGAAAUCAACCGAGAUUCCCUUAGUAGUGGCGAGCGAACGGGGAUUAGCCCUUAAGCUUCAUUGAUUUUAGCGGAACGCUCUGGAAAGUGCGGCCAUAGUGGGUGAUAGCCCCGUACGCGAAAGGAUCUUUGAAGUGAAAUCGAGUAGGACGGAGCACGAGAAACUUUGUCUGAACAUGGGGGGACCAUCCUCCAAGGCUAAAUACUACUGACUGACCGAUAGUGAACCAGUACCGUGAGGGAAAGGCGAAAAGAACCCCGGAGAGGGGAGUGAAAUAGAACCUGAAACCGUAUGCGUACAAGCAGUGGGAGCCUACUUGUUAGGUGACUGCGUACCUUUUGUAUAAUGGGUCAGCGACUUAUAUUCAGUGGCAAGCUUAACCGUAUAGGGUAGGCGUAGCGAAAGCGAGUCUUAAUAGGGCGUUUAGUCGCUGGGUAUAGACCCGAAACCGGGCGAUCUAUCCAUGAGCAGGUUGAAGGUUAGGUAACACUGACUGGAGGACCGAACCCACUCCCGUUGAAAAGGUAGGGGAUGACUUGUGGAUCGGAGUGAAAGGCUAAUCAAGCUCGGAGAUAGCUGGUUCUCCUCGAAAGCUAUUUAGGUAGCGCCUCAUGUAUCACUCUGGGGGGUAGAGCACUGUUUCGGCUAGGGGGUCAUCCCGACUUACCAAACCGAUGCAAACUCCGAAUACCCAGAAGUGCCGAGCAUGGGAGACACACGGCGGGUGCUAACGUCCGUCGUGAAAAGGGAAACAACCCAGACCGCCAGCUAAGGUCCCAAAGUUGUGGUUAAGUGGUAAACGAUGUGGGAAGGCUUAGACAGCUAGGAGGUUGGCUUAGAAGCAGCCACCCUUUAAAGAAAGCGUAAUAGCUCACUAGUCGAGUCGGCCUGCGCGGAAGAUGUAACGGGGCUCAAACCACACACCGAAGCUGCGGGUGUCACGUAAGUGACGCGGUAGAGGAGCGUUCUGUAAGCCUGUGAAGGUGAGUUGAGAAGCUUGCUGGAGGUAUCAGAAGUGCGAAUGCUGACAUGAGUAACGACAAUGGGUGUGAAAAACACCCACGCCGAAAGACCAAGGGUUCCUGCGCAACGUUAAUCGACGCAGGGUUAGUCGGUUCCUAAGGCGAGGCUGAAAAGCGUAGUCGAUGGGAAACAGGUUAAUAUUCCUGUACUUCUGGUUACUGCGAUGGAGGGACGGAGAAGGCUAGGCCAGCUUGGCGUUGGUUGUCCAAGUUUAAGGUGGUAGGCUGAAAUCUUAGGUAAAUCCGGGGUUUCAAGGCCGAGAGCUGAUGACGAGUCGUCUUUUAGAUGACGAAGUGGUUGAUGCCAUGCUUCCAAGAAAAGCUUCUAAGCUUCAGGUAACCAGGAACCGUACCCCAAACCGACACAGGUGGUCGGGUAGAGAAUACCAAGGCGCUUGAGAGAACUCGGGUGAAGGAACUAGGCAAAAUGGCACCGUAACUUCGGGAGAAGGUGCGCCGGCUAGGGUGAAGGAUUUACUCCGUAAGCUCUGGCUGGUCGAAGAUACCAGGCCGCUGCGACUGUUUAUUAAAAACACAGCACUCUGCAAACACGAAAGUGGACGUAUAGGGUGUGACGCCUGCCCGGUGCCGGAAGGUUAAUUGAUGGGGUUAGCGCAAGCGAAGCUCUUGAUCGAAGCCCCGGUAAACGGCGGCCGUAACUAUAACGGUCCUAAGGUAGCGAAAUUCCUUGUCGGGUAAGUUCCGACCUGCACGAAUGGCGUAACGAUGGCGGCGCUGUCUCCACCCGAGACUCAGUGAAAUUGAAAUCGCUGUGAAGAUGCAGUGUAUCCGCGGCUAGACGGAAAGACCCCGUGAACCUUUACUGUAGCUUUGCACUGGACUUUGAGCCUGCUUGUGUAGGAUAGGUGGGAGGCUUUGAAGCGUGGACGCCAGUUCGCGUGGAGCCAUCCUUGAAAUACCACCCUGGCAUGCUUGAGGUUCUAACUCUGGUCCGUGAUCCGGAUCGAGGACAGUGUAUGNNNNNNNNNNNNNNNNNNNNNNNNNNNNNGUAACGGAGGAGUACGAAGGUGCGCUCAGACCGGUCGGAAAUCGGUCGCAGAGUAUAAAGGCAAAAGCGCGCUUGACUGCGAGACAGACACGUCGAGCAGGUACGAAAGUAGGUCUUAGUGAUCCGGUGGUUCUGUAUGGAAGGGCCAUCGCUCAACGGAUAAAAGGUACUCCGGGGAUAACAGGCUGAUACCGCCCAAGAGUUCAUAUCGACGGCGGUGUUUGGCACCUCGAUGUCGGCUCAUCACAUCCUGGGGCUGAAGCCGGUCCCAAGGGUAUGGCUGUUCGCCAUUUAAAGUGGUACGCGAGCUGGGUUUAGAACGUCGUGAGACAGUUCGGUCCCUAUCUGCCGUGGACGUUUGAGAUUUGAGAGGGGCUGCUCCUAGUACGAGAGGACCGGAGUGGACGAACCUCUGGUGUUCCGGUUGUCACGCCAGUGGCAUUGCCGGGUAGCUAUGUUCGGAAAAGAUAACCGCUGAAAGCAUCUAAGCGGGAAACUUGCCUCAAGAUGAGAUCUCACUGGGAACUUGAUUCCCCUGAAGGGCCGUCGAAGACUACGACGUUGAUAGGCUGGGUGUGUAAGCGUUGUGAGGCGUUGAGCUAACCAGUACUAAUUGCCCGUGAGGCUUGACCAU